ensembl:antisense
AGGUCUGUUAGAGCACGUGGAGCGUUAAGAUCCUGACACUGCGGACUAUCGAUGUGUUUAUCGCGGCGUGACUACUGAUGGGUUUAUCGCGGCGUGACUUCUGAUGGGUUUAUCGCGACGUGUUUCACGAGACCCGAAUGUUGUACGCGGGUGGAGAGUCGGCUCACACCUCCUCACAAGUCCUUCUGUGCAGGAUGUCAGGGCCGAUUGACUUCAUCCUGAGACUAGGACCUCAUCCCGGUCCGAUCAAGCUGGAACGACGAGCGAACUUUGCGGUCCCUGAGGGGCUGGAGCGGGCGGUAGUUGUUCACCAUCACCUCCUCUUCCUCACCUCGCCCGGAGAACAAGAGUGUGCGGAACGUGGACAGCUGGAACAGAGAGCAGCCGCGGUGAGCUGACGAAGGCCCAGAGAGAUCCACGUGCCGGGUGACCCCUCCCACACUGACCAACAGAACACAGUAUAAUGAACCCGUGACUCCGCGACUCCCAAGGGUUCACUAAAGGCACAGUGGCUGCUACUCCUUUGGAACUGGAGAGUCCAUAGACAGGAGGGAAACCCAGUGGUCCCAAAGAAAGGUCCCAAGAGGGAACUGAGGCCCGGCCAACAGCCAGCACUGACUUGCCAGCCACUGAGUGAGCCACUUAGGUAGGGAAGGAGUCCCCUGGGUAUGUGCCAUGAUAUACAUCUUUCUGUUAAUGUAUACAUUUACACCCCACCCCCACUAAAUUGUGAUGAGAUGGAGAUUGAACUCAUCAGGGCUAAUUAAUCACUUUCUUCCUGCGAAAGAAAACAACCUUUCCCUGAGGUGAACAGAAAGGUUCCAUCGAGACUUGUUCUUACACCGAUGGGCUUUCUCAGGCACAGCCUGGCUAAACUAUUGAACUCACACCCAGACCUCAGGGAAUAUGACGUAUGCUGGCUUCAUACACGAUGUAUGCUGGCUUCAUACGUGACGUAUGGUACCCCAAAAUGUGAUCAUGGGGCCUUGCACUCGGUGACUCUCAUGCAAACAGAAAACCCUUCUAGCAGUUCGGGAAUACCUCAAAUACGCCGGCAGGGCCGGGGAGGUGUGGCUGAGUCAGUAUCCUGCUUGAGUUUGAGCCUAACAUGCAGAAUGGUAUGCUCUUGUAAUCCCAGCACUGGGGAGGCAGAGCCAGGGGAACCUGGUGCUUAGUAGUCAGCAAGCCUCACCUUGUGGGUGAGUUUCAGGCCAAUGAGACACCCUGUCACAAAGCACAAGACGAGUGGUACCCAGAGAGUGACAACCAGGGGUUGAUUUUAGACCUCCACAACACACAAACACAGAUGGACCAGAAAAUGGAGUCCUGCCGGCAAUGUCCCACCAUGACACCUUGAUGAAGAGGCAGGUGAAAAUGACCUCUGUGGGGGCUGUGACACAGCUGGAGUGCUCACCUGGCUCGGGGACACCUCAAUGGGAGUCUUCUGCACAAUCCAGGUGACUGACUCAGCCAGUGGCGGGGUGGUGAGGGAGCCAGGGUAGGUCCAGUAAUCCCGGCAGGCAGGCAGCAGACAAGAGGGGUCAAAGGGUCCCACGGCCACCUGUGUAUCCUGAGAACAAGAACCACAGCCCCACCAAUCAGGGGGUCCAGCAAAUAUGGGGACCUCUCCGUCUUACCACAGCUUUGAUGGUAAAACAAGCGUUCUGAACACCGGUUAUGCCCACUGUUGUCAUAUGUGGAAAUAUAAAGAAAAUGUGACUCUUCUUUACAAAAAAGGGUCUCUUACCAAAUGGUUGUAUUUCCCCUGAAAGUUAUGCCUUCCUAUAUACCUUGGCUGAGAAGAUGUAUGUGUACAUAUAUAUGGGGGUACCAUUUUUGACAUUUUAAAAAUAUCUAUUUAAUG